ACGGGACGGGGUCUCUCAGGCCCUACUCCCACCCUUUGUGUACCUUACCGCUCUUCAGUUGCCUUGGCGGGUCCUCCCCACCAGGACCGGCCUCCGGUCCGCGGUGCGGUGCCCGCCAGGGGACUCACCCAAAACCCUUCUGAACUGGGUCGUCUGAGAAAGCAAAGCAAUGAAUUUAAAACUUUCAACAACGGAUCUCUUGGUUCUGGCAUCGAUGAAGAACGCAGCGAAAUGCGAUAAGUAAUGUGAAUUGCAGAAUUCAGUGAAUCAUCGAAUCUUUGAACGCACAUUGCGCCCUCUGGUAUUCCGGGGGGCAUGCCUGUUCGAGCGUCAUUUCAACCCUCAAGCUCCGGCUUGGUGUUGGGCGCCGCCCCGCUCGCGGGCGCGCCUGAAACCCGUCGGCGGCCGUGCUCGGCUCCUCAGCGUAGUCACAUCUCUCGCUCUGGACAGCCUCGCCGCGGCCCGCCCGAGAAACCCAUCUCACAUCACGGUUUGACCUCGGAUCAGGUAGGGAUACCCGCUGAACUUAAGCAUAUCAAUAAGCGGAGGAGAUCAUUACCGAGUACCGGGUCUCUCAGGCCCUACUCCCACCCUUUGUGUACCUUACCGCUCUUCGUUGCCUUGGCGGGUCUCCACAAGAACGGCUCGUUCGCGCUGCGGUGCGCAGGGGACUCACAAAACUUUCUGAAACUGGGGUUGUCUGAGAAAGCAAAGCAAUGAAUUUAAAACUUUCAACAACGGGAUCUCUUGGUUCUGGCAUCGAUGAAAGAACGCAGCGAAAUGCGAUAAGUAAUGUGAAAUUGCGAAUUCUUGAAAUCAUCGAAAUCUUUUGAAACGCACAUUGCGCCUCUGGUAUGUCGGGGGGGCAUGUCUGUUACAGGAUCAUUUCAACUCUAACUCUGCUUGUUGUUGGGCCGCCCAUCCGGGUGUCUGAAAUCUGGGUAGCGGUGAGAUCCUGAGAUAAUACAUAUCUCAUGUAAGAAACCUCGCGCCAUGCCGCUACG
rnacentral:rRNA from 1 species